rnacentral:rRNA from 1 species
UACGUAGGGUGCGAGCGUUGUCCGGAAUUACUGGGCGUAAAGAGCUCGUAGGGGGUUUGUCGCGUUGUUCGUGAAAACUCACAGCUUAACUGUGGGCGUGCGGGCGAUACGGGCAGACUGGAGUACUGCAGGGGAGACUGGAAUUCCUGGUGUAGCGGUGGAAUGCGCAGAUAUCAGGAGGAACACCGGUGGCGAAGGCGGGUCUCUGGGCCGAUACUGACGCUGAGGAGCGAAAGCGUGGGGAGCAAACAGG